AUGGCCGCGUCGGCGUCGGCGGCGGGUGGCCAGCCCCAGAAGCAGUUCCUAUCCAUCAUCCGCGACUUCGCCGCCGAGAAGUCCCACGGCGAGCGCACGGUGUCGGGCCUGAAGCGCCGCCUCGACGACGUGGUCUCGGCUUCCGACGCGGCCACGGCGGAGCUCGAGGCCGCGAAGCGCGCGCGGGAGGCGGCGGAGACGGAGCUGCGCGGGAGCGAGGUGCAGGCCUCCAUCGCAGACGCGUCGAUUCAGGCGCUCGAGGCGACGAUCUCUCAUCUCCAGGAGGAGAUCGCGAAGCUGGGCUCUGAACUGGACGCGCUUAAGAGCACGGAGGACAUCGAGAGAGAGGAGUUCUUGAGACAGAUGCUUGAAAUGAAUGCAAGGAUAAGGCAGUUUCAACAGAAGGCUUCUGCAGAAUUAGCAGAGAGGUGCUCUGGACCGCCAUCAGCAGAUGGUAAGCAAGGCAAGUCAGCAGAGGGUCAAAAUGUGAGUGACAUGAAUGAAACUAUGGACUCAGAAGGUAUGUUGACAGAUUCGGCUGAUCAGAUGAACAAGAUGAAUGCUGAGGUGCAUGUAUUGGAGGAAGAGUAUCAGAAGGACCUGCUUGAACUUGAAAAGCUGCGUCAUGAACUGGCUGAUGUCCGAGCAAAGAGAGCUCUUAUGGAGGCUGUGAUGAAAGAGACGAAAAAGUUGCAGGAGAUCGGAGGGCGCGUGGCUGAACUGGAGAACGUGCACAAUUCACUCGCUGAGGAGCUCCAGAAGCGCUACAUAUGCCCUGGCUGCGGAACCAACAACAUGGCGCCGGAGCAGGAGGAGGCGGCGCCGGCAGCGGCGGUGGCAAACUAA
rnacentral:rRNA from 1 species